AUGGGAGAUGAGCAUCCAGUUAACAACACUAGCAGCACCCGUUGUACUUCCUUCAACGUACCCGAUGACUAUCGAUGUGAUGUGAUUCUUAACGUGAAAAGAGCCACAGGGACAUUUUCACUAGUGGCAUGCCUUUUCAUGCUGUUUGCAAUAUGGCUGCUCCGCCGAUAUAACUCUUUGGCUCAGAAAAUGAUAUUCAGUCUGACAAUAGCUGCAGCCUUUGACAGUGUUGCUUAUGUUAUGGGAGAGUCUCAUCUGGAGGGGUCUCUGUGUAAUUUUCAAGCCUGGUGGCUCACAUAUUUUGACUGGACCGCACUGAUGUGGGUUUGUCUUAUUACAUUUAAUCUGUACCUGAACCUGGUGAGAGAAAUCAGAACUGAACAUUAUGAAAUACCGUAUCAUUUGGUGGCAUGGGGGGUUCCUCUGCUCAUGUCCACCCUCCCCCUGAUGGCUGGAUACUACGGCCCCUCUGGAGCCUGGUGUUGGAUCACAGAUAAGCAUGUCGGGUGGAGGUUUGGCAUAUGGUACAUUCCUCUGUUUAGCCUGAUUAUCCUCAUGACCUGCUGCUAUGCUCGAAUCAUCUGUGUGGCCAACGAGAGGAUGCGUUCCUGGUUGGGCACCUUUAACCCAGAAAGAGAGAGGAGGAAGAUCUCUCUAGCUGAAGAGAUCAGACCGUUGAAGUGGUAUCCCUCUGUCUAUCUGCUCGUCUCUAUCUUCCCCCUCAUAAAUCGACUUCAUAAUGCUGCUUACCCUGAGGACCCUGUGUUUUCUCUGAUGUUAUUGCACGUGCUCAGUGCACCCUUGCAUGGGCUUGCAAAUGCUCUUGUCUUCGGUAAGGACACCUGGAGUCAGCUGAGUACAACAGGAAUAAAGAUGGCUAUCCAGUCUCGGCUGUGUGACAGCACAAUGAUCGGAGAGUACCAUGCUGCAAAUGUAAGAUACACACAUGACCUCAAUACACACUCCGAUUCCGACGAUGAGGACAACAACAUCCUAUUUUACAGCCCGGACAUGAUCUUAAAAGAUAGGGGACCCUGGGAGAAUGUUUAG
ensembl:lncRNA